rnacentral:rRNA from 1 species
UACAGAGGUCUCAAGCGUUGUUCGGAUUCAUUGGGCGUUAAAGGGUGCGUAGGCGGCGCGGUAAGUCGGGUGUGAAAUCUCGGAGCUUAACUCCGAAACUGCAUUCGAUACUGCCGUGCUUGAGGACUGGAGAGGAGACUGGAAUUUACGGUGUAGCGGUGAAAUGCGUAGAUAUCGUAAGGAAGACCAGUGGCGAAGGCGGGUCUCUGGACAGUUCCUGACGCUGAGGCACGAAGGCCCAGGGGAGCAAACGGG